CUGGAGUGCACACUAAAACAUUUGCCAUUGAAUCUUUCCAUGACUCACUUAAAAAUUUUGGAGCACCCUAUGUGUCAGAUGGUGGGGUACAAAGAGCAGGACAUGCUCCCUAUCGGUCCUAAGACCUAGCAUGUUCCCAGCAUGGAGAAGGCACUCAAUGAGUGUUUGUAGAGUUGGACUGAAAUCAGCCCUGACAGAAAUAACCAUGUUUCCUGGCCAGGUGGCUCCAGUGUAUAUGAGUGGACACCCAGAUGAAGCCGGAUGGUAAUGGCUGGUCCAGGUCCAAAGGCUGCCGAGAACCAUACCCUGGACUAGCUGAGGCUGUGCCAUCUGGGAUUUCUGCCGAGGCAGCAGACAGACCGGGAAAAGGACCUGCCACAGAUAAGGAUUUGAGCGCAGAGACAGGACCACAGGACUGCAAGGUCAGCAGCCACAAGAAUGGACCUGAGAGGAAUACCAAUCGCUCUGCUCCUUUGUAAGGGAUAGAGAAGCCUAGAUUUCCAAAUUCAAAACACCCAUCCGGCUGCUUCUACAAAUCUCUGAAUAGGGAAUCAGUCCAGAGAUACAGAAAUUUUUUCCGCCAAUAUCUUACGGAGGACUUGCGUAACUCCACGGAGCUUCCAGUAAACACCAAGAACCCAAACCGGAGGUGUGCAGUGUGUGUAUGUGUGUGCUGUGUGUCCAAGGGUCAGAGACGUGCGCUCCCGCAGUGGCCUCAGACGCAAAUACCCAGGCCCGCCACCCAGUCGCCCGCUGAGAGGAUCUGGCCGCCAACUCCAGGAAACAAAAAACAACGACAAAACAAAAACAAACAAAAACCCCCCUCCAUAAUGGAUAUCCCCAGGGGUCUUCCCCCCCCCCUCCGAAAAAACGCGUUCCACUUUGUGGAACGUUCCAAUUUGUGCGGAAAUUAGAUGCACAAGGCAACUCAUUCCAUUCGGGAAGAUGAGAAGUGCUGCAGAAGCGAGACUGGCUGUAUGUGGGGACACGGUCCCCCAAACCGAAAGAGGACAUUCCCAGAAACCUCGUCUUGCCCCUCCAAGCGCCGGCCCGUGAGGUGGUG
rnacentral:lncRNA from 1 species